UACAGAGAGGGCAAGCGUUGUUCGGAAUUACUGGGCGUAAAGGGCGCGUAGGCGGCCUUCUAAGUCGAACGUGAAAUCCCCGGGCUCAACCCGGGAACUGCGUCCGAUACUGGAAGGCUUGAAUCCGGGAGAGGGAUGCGGAAUUCCAGGUGUAGCGGUGAAAUGCGUAGAUAUCUGGAGGAACACCGGUGGCGAAGGCGGCAUCCUGGACCGGCAUUGACGCUGAGGCGCGAAAGCCAGGGGAGCAAACGGG
rnacentral:rRNA from 1 species